UUGCGAUGAUGAUAACAAGCUCCCUCUUCUGAAAGCAUUGAUAUUCCCGGAGCCGCCUAAGAGCUUUCGCCCUGCCAGGCUAGAGAGCUAAUGCUGCUAAUUCCUUCCUUGGAUGUCUGAGCCU